rnacentral:rRNA from 1 species
UGGCGAACGGGUGAGUAAUGCGUGACCAACCUGCCCCAUGCUCCAGAAUAGCUCUUGGAAACGGGUGGUAAUGCUGGAUGCUCCAACUUGACGCAUGUCUUGUUGGGAAAGUGUUUAGUGGCAUGGGAUGGGGUCGCGUCCUAUCAGCUUGUAGGCGGGGUAAUGGCCCACCUAGGCUUCGACGGGUAGCCGGCCUGAGAGGGCGGACGGCCACAUUGGGACUGAGGUACGGCCCAGACUCCUACGGGAGGCAGCAGGA